GACGAACGCUGGCGGCGUGCCUAAUACAUGCAAGUCGAACGCACUCUCGUUUAGAUUGAAGGAGCUUGCUCCUGAUUGAUAAACAUUUGAGUGAGUGGCGGACGGGUGAGUAACACGUGGGUAACCUGCCCUAAAGUGGGGGAUAACAUUUGGAAACAGAUGCUAAUACCGCAUAAAACCUAACACCGCAUGGUGUAGGGUUGAAAGAUGGUUUCGGCUAUCACUUUAGGAUGGACCCGCGGUGCAUUAGUUAGUUGGUGAGGUAAAGGCUCACCAAGACCGUGAUGCAUAGCCGACCU
rnacentral:rRNA from 1 species